rnacentral:rRNA from 1 species
UACGGAGGAUCCAAGCGUUAUCCGGAUUUAUUGGGUUUAAAGGGUGCGUAGGCGGUUUGUUAAGUUAGAGGUGAAAUCCCGUGGCUCAACCACGGAACUGCCUCUGAUACUGGCAGGCUAGAGAUAAGUUGCUGUGGGCGGAAUGUGUGGUGUAGCGGUGAAAUGCUUAGAGAUCACACAGAACACCGAUUGCGAAGGCAGCUCACAAAGCUUAAUCUGACGCUGAGGCACGAAAGCGUGGGGAGCAAACAGGAUUAGAAACCCCGGUAGUCC